UUUCAUUAGUAUUAAUAGUUAAGAUCUUUAAAUUAAAAGAAUUUGACGGUAAUUUAUCAUUCCAGAGGAGCCUGUCCUUUAAUCGAUACCCCACGUUAAAUUUUACCUUAAUUUUUAGCUUAUAUACCUCUGUUGUAGAGUGUUUUAUUAGGAAGUAUUCUCUUUUAUUUUUUAAAAAUUUAUAUCAGGUCAAGGUUUAGUUAUAUUAGGGUUGAGAUGGGCUACAUUUAUUUUAUUAUUGGAUCUUUUUUAUUUAUUUAAAUAGUGAAAAUGGAUUUGGUUGUAAUUUGUAUUAUAUUUUAUUUAUGAUAUUUGUUCUAGAUUAAG
rnacentral:rRNA from 1 species